rnacentral:snRNA from 1 species
GCGUCCUCAGCGACGGAC